UGAUGAUGAUUAUGGUGGUGGUGGUGGUGGUGAUGAUGAUGAUGAUGAUGAUGAUGAUGAUCUUCAUCAUCAUCAUUGUCAUCAUCAUGAUAGUAA
rnacentral:pre_miRNA from 1 species